rnacentral:RNase_P_RNA from 1 species
CACCGACGGUGGACGGCCGCUCCUCGUGCUUGCACGGGGGGAGGAAAGUCCGGACUCCACAGGGCAGGAAGUCCCGCCCUACAGCGGGAUACCACGGACCAUAUGCCGUGGGAAGGAAAGUGCCGCAGAAAAUAUACCGCCCCUUCGGGGGUAAGGGUGAAAAGGUGGGGUAAGAGCCCACCGCCCGGUCCGGGAAACCACCGGGGCAGGGCAAACCCCUUCCGGCGCAAGACCAAAUAGGGGACGAUGAUGCGGCCCGCAUCGCUUGAGUCCCGGGUUCCGGUCGCUUAGAUGAAUGGUCGUCGUCCCGUCUCGGCGGGAAUACAGAAUCCGGCUUAUAGCCGUCGGUGACAC